GCNGGUUACGAAUUCGCCCCUUNAGGUUUGAUCAUGGUCCUCANGUAUGAACGCUGGCGGCGUGCUUAACACAUGACAAGUCGAACGAAGCAUAUGAUCAUCAAAGCCUUCGGGCAGAGAAGAUAUAUGACUUAGUGGCGGACGGGUGAGUAACGCGUGAGUAACCUGCCGUAUACCGGGGGAUAACAGUUAGAAAUGACUGCUAAUACCGCAUAAGCGCACAGUGCUGCAUGGCACAGUGUGAAAAACUCCGGUGGUAUAUGAUGGACUCGCGUCUGAUUAGUUAGUUGGUGAGGUAACGGCUCACCAAGACAGCGAUCAGUAGCCGACUUGAGAGAGUGAUCGGCCACAUUGGGACUGAGACACGGCCCAAACUCCUACGGGAGGCAGCAGUGGGGAAUAUUGCACAAUGGGGGAAACCCUGAUGCAGCGACGCCGCGUGAGUGAAGAAGUAUUUCGGUAUGUAAAGCUCUAUCAGCAAGGAAGAUAAUGACGGUACUUGACUAAGAAGCCCCGGCUAACUACGUGCCAGCAGCCGCGGUAAUACGUAGGGGGCAAGCGUUAUCCGGAUUUACUGGGUGUAAAGGGAGCGUAGACGGUAUGGUAAGUCAGAUGUGAAAGCCCGGGGCUUAACCCCGGAACUGCAUUUGAAACUAUCAGACUGGAGUGUCGGAGAGGUAAGUGGAAUUCCUAGUGUAGCGGUGAAAUGCGUAGAUAUUAGGAGGAACACCAGUGGCGAAGGCGGCUUACUGGACGAUAACUGACGUUGAGGCUCGAAAGCGUGGGGAGCAAACAGGAUUANAUACCCUGGUAGUCCACGCCGUAAAACNAUGAAUACUANGUGUCANGG
rnacentral:rRNA from 1 species